rnacentral:sRNA from 1 species
GCCAGGUGUGGUGGCGCACGCCUGUAAUCCCAGUGGCUUGGGAGGCUGAGACAGGAGGAUUGAGAGUUCAAAGCCAGCCUCAGCAAAGAGCAAGGUGCUAAGCAACUCAGUGAGACCCUGUCUCUA